AAAUUGAAGAGUUUGAUCAUGGCUCAGAUUGAACGCUGGCGGCAGGCCUAACACAUGCAAGUCGAACGGUAACAGGAAGCAGCUUGCUGCUUUGCUGACGAGUGGCGGACGGGUGAGUAAUGUCUGGGAAACUGCCU
rnacentral:rRNA from 2 species